GCGGCGGCGCCAAGGCCUCGGCCGGGGGCACGCUGCAGCGGGAAUUCACGGAGAGCGCGUACCGCCCGCCGCCCUCCGCCGCCGCCGGGAAGAGGGC
rnacentral:ribozyme from 1 species